rnacentral:lncRNA from 1 species
AAUUCAAGGUCACACAGUGUUGAGGAUGGAAUCCAGACCUGAUACAGUUAUUGGCCUGCCUUAUCUUGCAGAUAUGUGAGUGAAUUCCACACCACCCAUUUUACAGAUGAAGCCACUGAGAUACAGAGCAACUGACUAAAUAGUCACCACCCCACUCCUGGAUCCUCACAUGACACUUCUCCCAGAGCCGCCCGGUAUGUGACUGUGUGAGGCAUGAGGCGCAGCAGGCUGUGAUACAGACUGAUGGUGAGUCAGCUGUUGGAUAAGACCUCAGCUAGGCAGUGUCAUCUCUUUGGGUAACCAGGAAAACAUGUAGACCAAAUAUGUUGUC